GUCAAGUUCUAUCUGAUGAUCACUAUCUUUCUCUAGCAAGUUACGAUGAUCUAAGGAAAAUCGAUGAGAAGAAGAAUUUUUUCCUUAAAGAUGUGAUUGGACAAGUUGUAGAUCUAGAUGGAAUUCAAACUGUUCAAGCUAGGGGGAAAGACGAGCAGAGAGUUCAGUUUCGUUUACGCGACGCCAGUGGUGAUGAUGUUGCGUGUUGCUUGUGGAGGAGGUUCGCGGAACAACUCGACCAAGUGUUCCAAGAUAACAACAAUGAAAUUGUUAUUUGCUUGAUAAGGUUUGCUAAGAUCACCUUUUUCAGAGGUAUACAUUAUAUGAUUUCAA